rnacentral:rRNA from 1 species
AGAGUUUGAUUAUGGCUCAGGAUGAACGCUGGCGGCGUGCUUAACACAUGCAAGUCGAACGGAGUUUUAAACGGAAGUUUUCAGAUGGAAGUUUAGAAACUUAGUGGCGGACGGGUGAGUAACGCGUGGGUAACCUGCCUCAUACAGGGGGAUAACAGUUAGAAAUGACUGCUAACACCGCAUAAUAUAGCGAAACCGCAUGAUUUUGCUAUCAAAUAUUUAUAGGUAUGAGAUGGGCCCGCGUCUGAUUAGCUAGUUGGUGGGGUAAAGCCUACCAAGGCGACGAUCAGUAGCCGGCUUGAGAGAGUGACCGGCCACAUUGGGACUGAGACACGGCCCAAACUCCUACGGGAGGCAGCAGUGGGGAAUAUUGGACAAUGGGGGAAACCCUGAUCCAGCGACGCCCGCGUGAGUGAAGAAGUAUUUCGGUAUGUAAAGCUCUAUCAGCAGGGAAGAUAAUGACAGUACCUGACUAAGAAGCCCCGGCUAACUACGUGCCAGCAGCAGC